rnacentral:rRNA from 1 species
GGGAUAACACUUGGAAACAGGUGCUAAUACCGUAUAACACUAUUUUCCGCAUGGAAGAAAGUUGAAAGGCGCUUUUGCGUCACUGAUGGAUGGACCCGCGGUGCAUUAGCUAGUUGGUGAGGUAACGGCUCACCAAGGCCACGAUGCAUAGCCGACCUGAGAGGGUGAUCGGCCACACUGGGACUGAGACACGGCCCAGACUCCUACGGGAGGCAGCAGUAGGGAAUCUUCGGCAAUGGACGAAAGUCUGACCGAGCAACGCCGCGUGAGUGAAGAAGGUUUUCGGAUCGUAAAACUCUGUUGUUAGAGAAGAACAAGGAUGAGAGUAAAAUGUUCAUCCCUUGACGGUAUCUAACCAGAAAGCCACGGCUAACUACGUGCCAGCAGCCGCGGUAAUACGUAGGUGGCAAGCGUUGUCCGGAUUUAUUGGGCGUAAAGCGAGCGCAGGCGGUUUCUUAAGUCUGAUGUGAAAGCCCCCGGCUCAACCGGGGAGGGUCAUUGGAAACUGGGAGACUUGAGUGCAGAAGAGGAGAGUGGAAUUCCAUGUGUAGCGGUGAAAUGCGUAGAUAUAUGGAGGAACACCAGUGGCGAAGGCGGCUCUCUGGUCUGUAACUGACGCUGAGGCUCGAAAGCGUGGGGAGCGAACAGGAUUAGAUACCCUGGUAGUCCACGCCGUAAACGAUGAGUGCUAAGUGUUGGAGGGUUUCCGCCCUUCAGUGCUGCAGCA